AAGUCGUAACAAGGUUUCCGUAGGUGAACCUGCGGAAGGAUCAUUAUUGAAAUCCUUAGGAUGUUGCUGGCCUUUCGGGGCAUGUGCACUCCGCCUUUUCAAUUCACCUGUGAACUCAUUGUAGGCCGAGACUGUAAAAAGUCUUGUGUCUAUGUUUUUUUAUAUACCCCUUUUAAAAAGUUUAACAGAAUGUUUAAAAUAGACCUUCAUGGUCGAAAUAUAUUAAUACAACUUUCAACAAUGGAUCUCUUGGUUCUC
rnacentral:misc_RNA from 1 species